UACGUAGGGGGCAAGCGUUGUCCGGAAUCAUUGGGCGUAAAGCGCGCGUAGGCGGCCCGGUAAGUCCGCUGUAAAAGUCCAGGGCUCAACCCUGGAAUGCCGGUGGAUACUGUCGGGCUAGAGUCCGGAAGAGGCGAGUGGAAUUCCUGGUGUAGCGGUGGAAUGCGCAGAUAUCAGGAGGAACACCGAUGGCGAAGGCAGCUCGCUGGGACGGUACUGACGCUGAGGCGCGAAGGCCAGGGGAGCAAACGGG
rnacentral:rRNA from 1 species